GACGGAGGAUGCAAGUGUUAUCCGGAAUCACUGGGCGUAAAGCGUCUGUAGGUGGUUUAAUAAGUCAACUGUUAAAUCUUGAGGCUCAACCUCAAAAUCGCAGUCGAAACUAUUAGGCUAGAGUAUAGUAGGGGUAAAGGGAAUUUCCAGUGGAGCGGUGAAAUGCGUAGAGAUUGGAAAGAACACCGAUGGCGAAGGCACUUUACUGGGCCAAUACUGACGCUCAUGCACGAAAGCGUGGGGAGCAAACAGG
rnacentral:rRNA from 1 species